rnacentral:sRNA from 1 species
GUUUUUAAUUUUUUAUAUAUAUGCAUGUAUAUACAUGUGUAUUUGUGUUGUUAUAUCACUGGAUCCGAAAAUCAACUCAAACACAUCUCGAUCCCUUUUUAAAGGUAUAAAAGCAUGAAAUCUAAAAUGAAAACAUAGUAUAUAGAGAAAUCAAUGACUCAAAAUAACAAGCAUUAUUAUAUAAGAACACCUUAUAGAGUAGACAUAGUAUGUUAUCUAUAUAAAACACAUGAACCAGCUAUAAAUAACAUGCAGAAUAUGAACAAACCUCCUUUUUUUUUUUUAAACCCCUAAACAGACGAAAAAGAAUCCACAGAGUUUGAGAAAAUUCUCAGAUCUCGCCUUAUCUAACUUCAUGUAGAGAGAUUAAAAAAAAUUGAGUGUUAGUAGAGAAUAAAUAAAAAAGAACCAAAACUUAGAUCUGGACACAAUCGGUAAGAACUCUGUGCAGGAUACUUAUGGAAGUGUACAUGGGAAGAAAUAGAAGAAGACAUAGAUAGAUAAUCGGAAACCCAGAACUGAUUCAUUGGCAAAGACUAGAUUGGAGAGGAGGAGAACGAAUUAAAACUUCUCUCACAAACGACGAUGAGAAAAAGAAGAUUAGCAGCUAUAUAAAACACAUACAAAAAACUAUAAAACAAAUAAAAUAACAGAGUACUUAAUGGCAGACCAAAAGGUAUAAAAGCAUGGAAUUUAAAAUGAAAACAUAGUAUACAGAGAAACCAAUGAGACAAUAUAACAAGCAUCAUUAUACAAAAACACCUUAUAGAGUAGACAUAACAUGUUAUUU